GACGAACGCUGGCGGCGUGCUUAACACAUGCAAGUCGAACGGAAAGGCCCGGCUUUUGUGGGGUGCUCGAGUGGCGAACGGGUGAGUAACACGUGAGUAACCUGCCCUUGACUUUGGGAUAACUUCAGGAAACUGGGGCUAAUACCGGAUAGGAGCUCCUGCUGCAUGGUGGGGGUUGGAAAGUUUCGGCGGUUGGGGAUGGACUCGCGGCUUAUCAGCUUGUUGGUGGGGUAGUGGCUUACCAAGGCUUUGACGGGUAGCCGGCCUGAGAGGGUGACCGGCCACAUUGGGACUGAGAUACGGCCCAGACUCCUACGGGAGGCAGCAGUGGGGAAUAUUGCACAAUGGGCGGAAGCCUGAUGCAGCAACGCCGCGUGCGGGAUGACGGCCUUCGGGUUGUAAACCGCUUUCGCCUGUGACGAAGCGUGAGUGACGGUAAUGGGUAAAGAAGCACCGGCUAACUACGUG
rnacentral:rRNA from 1 species